UGGCCCUUUGAUCUUCUUUGAACUUGGCCCUCUGGUCAAUCCAAUGGAAAUUUUCCAUCUUAGUUGAUAAUGCAUUUACUUCUUCUGGUAUUUCUUCAGUUUGAUGACAUUGUUGAGCUUUAGCUUGGAACCAGCUUUGGUUUUCUGCUAUCUUAUCCAAAAGUAUCUCUGCUUUUCCAGUUGUAAGCUCCAAGAAUGAUCCUUUAGCAGAUGCAU
rnacentral:lncRNA from 1 species